rnacentral:rRNA from 1 species
GACAGAGGGUGCAAACGUUGUUCGGAAUUACUGGGCGUAAAGCGCGUGUAGGCGGCUGCGCAAGUCGGAUGUGAAAUCCCGUGGCUCAACCACGGAAGUGCACCCGAAACUGCGCAGCUGGAGUCUCGGAGAGGAAGGUGGAAUGCUUGGUGUAGAGGUGAAAUUCGUAGAUAUCAAGCGGAACACCGGUGGCGAAGGCGGCCUCUGGACGAUGACUGACGCUGAGACGCGAAAGCGUGGGUAGCAAACAGG